rnacentral:rRNA from 1 species
GGGUUGUGAGGUUAAGCGACUAAGCGUACACGGUGGAUGCCCUGGCAGUCAGAGGCGAUGAAGGACGUGCUAAUCUGCGAUAAGCGCCGGUAAGGUGAUAUGAACCGUUAUAACCGGCGAUUUCCGAAUGGGGAAACCCAGUGUGAUUCGUCACACUAUCAUUAACUGAAUCCAUAGGUUAAUGAGGCGAACCGGGGGAACUGAAACAUCUAAGUACCCCGAGGAAAAGAAAUCAACCGAGAUUCCCCCAGUAGCGGCGAGCGAACGGGGAGGAGCCCAGAGCCUGAAUCAGCAUGUGUGUUAGUGGAAGCGUCUGGAAAGGCGCGCGAUACAGGGUGACAGCCCCGUACACAAAAGCGCAUGUGCUGUGAGCUCGAUGAGUAGGGCGGGACACGUGGUAUCCUGUCUGAAUAUGGGGGGACCAUCCUCCAAGGCUAAAUACUCCUGACUGACCGAUAGUGAACCAGUACCGUGAGGGAAAGGCGAAAAGAACCCCGGCGAGGGGAGUGAAAAAGAACCUGAAACCGUGUACGUACAAGCAGUGGGAGCACCCUUUGGGGUGU